rnacentral:rRNA from 1 species
GAUGAACGCUGGCGGCGUGCCUAAUACAUGCAAGUCGAGCGAACAGACGAGGAGCUUGCUCCUCUGACGUUAGCGGCGGACGGGUGAGUAACACGUGGAUAACCUACCUAUAAGACUGGGAUAACUUCGGGAAACCGGAGCUAAUACCGGAUAAUAUAUUGAACCGCAUGGUUCAAUAGUGAAAGACGGUUUUGCUGUCACUUAUAGAUGGAUCCGCGCCGCAUUAGCUAGUUGGUAAGGUAACGGCUUACCAAGGCGACGAUGCGUAGCCGACCUGAGAGGGUGAUCGGCCACACUGGACCUGAGACACGGUCCAGACCCCUAGGGGAGGCAGCAGUAGGGAUCUUCCGCAAUGGGCGAAAGCCUGACGGAGCAACGCCGCGUGAGUGAUGAAGGUCUUCGGAUCGUAAAACUCUGUUAUUAGGGAAGAACAAAUGUGUAAGUAACUAUGCACGUCUUGACGGUACCUAAUCAGAAAGCCACGGCUAACUACGUG